GGGGAUAUAGCUCAGCUGGUAGAGUGAUUGCCUCUCAUGCACAAGGCCCUGGGUUCAAUCCCCAGUCUCCCCA